rnacentral:lncRNA from 1 species
UCCUCUUUUAGAUCCUCCUCCUCGUCGGCAGCAUGUAAAGAUUCUUGUUACAUUCUAUUCUCAUUCCAAACAUCGUCCAAACCAUGAGGAAACUUCUUCCCCGAAUUUUUCUAGAAUGAAAUCUAAUUCUUUUGUAUCAUUAGUUGAUCUAGUAAUAUCCUUAAAACAUCAAACUCAUGCGAAACAAAGACACAGGCCUUGAGAACAAAUUCACCUUCCAUCCUUGGCUCCUUGUAUAAAUGUUGGGCAAGUAAGGUCUCAUCCCAUCCAUACCCACAAAUAAAUAUCACUUAUCAGCCAAUUAAAGAUGAUUUCUUUGUCAUUCUCUCUACCAUAUACGGUUUCGCCCACAAAAUGUUGUUGUUGACAACUUUGGUGACAAUGAUAUAACACUAGAACCAUUAGCUUCUUUCAAACUUAGCCAUAAGCUCAUACCCUUGAUUCAAAUUCCUUGCCAAAUGAACUUUUACAAGAAUUGAAGAAAUUUCAUACCUUGCUAGCACCGGUUUGAGAUCUGGCUUCCAGCUUGCAUUUUGGAGACUUGAAAGCAAAUAUCAUGCAAGAGAUCCAUCACAGCAUCAUGCAUGCUUGAACAUGUGUGGGGUUUCUGAUCUGCAUCAUCAGCCACAGCAGCAUGAUGGUUGAACCUCUUCUUCAGAAGUGCCUCGUUGAGUUUUCUUCCUCUAAAACAUCACACCAAGGAAAGAAAAAAGAAGAAGUAUCCAACUUUAGCUAGUGAAGAUUAUUAUGUUAUUGACUCAGUCUGAAGAAAGACACAGAAGAAAACCUGAAUCUCUUACCCUAAUAUUUAUAUUCUCA